UACAGAGGUCUCAAGCGUUGUUCGGAUUCAUUGGGCGUAAAGGGUGCGUAGGUGGCGAGGUAAGUCAGGUGUGAAAUCUCGGGGCCCAACCCCGAAACUGCACUUGAUACUGCCUUGCUCGAGUACUGGAGAGGAGAUUGGAAUUUACGGUGUAGCAGUGAAAUGCGUAGAUAUCGUAAGGAAGACCAGUGGCGAAGGCGAAUCUCUGGACAGUUACUGACACUGAGGCACGAAGGCCAGGGGAGCAAACGGG
rnacentral:rRNA from 1 species